UGCUGGUGUCAUGAACCCCUUACAGUG
rnacentral:piRNA from 1 species